GGAGAUCUCGUGGCUCUAGCAGAAUCCAGAAUGAAGACUUUUGAUGCAAAUGACCUGUAUCAGGGAAAGGAUUUCAGCAAAGUUCUCAGCUCUCUCGUGGCUUUAAAUAAGGUGACUGCAGACAUAGGGCUGGGCAGUGACUCUGUAUGCGCACGUCCCUCAUCGCAUCGGAUAAAAUCUUUUGAUUCUCUGGGAUCCCAGUCUUUACACAGUAGAACUUCAAAACUUUUUCAGGGACAAUAUCGGAGUUUGGACAUGACAGAUAACAGCAACCAUCAGGUGGUGGUGAGAGCAAAAUUUAAUUUUCAACAGACAAAUGAAGAUGAACUUUCUUUUUCAAAAGGAGAUAUUAUUCAUGUUACAAGAGUGGAAGAAGGAGGCUGGUGGGAAGGAACUCUAAAUGGCAAAACAGGGUGGUUUCCAAGUAACUACGUGCGAGAAAUAAAAUCAAACGAAAAACCGGUCUCCCCCAAAUCAGGUACAUUGAAGAGUCCACCUAAAGGCUUUGAUACGUCUGCAAUUAACAAAAGCUAUUACAAUGUGGUGCUACAAAAUAUAUUAGAAACAGAAAAUGAAUAUGCUAAGGAGCUACAAACAAUGCUUUCAAACUACCUGCGACCAUUACAAGCCAGUGAAAAGUUAAACUCAACGAAUACUUCAUACUUAAUGGGAAACCUGGAAGAAAUAAGUUCUUUCCAGCAAAUGCUUGUACAGUCUUUAGAAGAAUGCACCAAGUUGCCUGAAACUCAGCAGAGGGUUGGAGGAUGUUUUCUAAAUUUGAUGCCACAAAUGAAAAGCUUAUACCUUGCAUACUGUGCCAACCAUCCAUCAGCAGUAAAUGUUCUCACAGAACACAGUGAGGAGCUAGGAGAAUUCAUGGAGGUGAAAGGUGCCAACAGCCCUGGGAUCCUUGUACUGACCACAGGCCUCAGCAAACCCUUUAUGCGUCUGGAUAAAUACCCCACGUUACUCAAAGAACUUGAAAGGCACAUGGAGGAUUAUCAUCCGGAUCGCCCAGAUAUUCAAAAAUCCAUGACUGCCUUCAAAAAUCUUUCUGCACAAUGUCAAGAAGUACGGAAACGGAAAGAACUUGAACUGCAAAUACUGACGGAAGCUAUCCGUUGUUGGGAGGGAGAGGACAUUAAAACACUUGGCAACGUGAUUUACAUGUCCCAGGUCAUGAUUCAGUGUGCUGGAAGUGAGGAAAAGAAUGAAAGGUAUCUUCUUCUCUUCCCUAACAUUUUGCUGAUGUUGUCUGCCAGCCCAAGAAUGAGUGGGUUUAUCUAUCAGGGGAAACUGCCAACGACAGGAAUGACUAUCACAAAGCUAGAAGAUAGUGAAAAUCAUAAAAAUGCAUUUGAAAUAUCAGGAAACAUGAUUGAAAGGAUACUAGUGUCUUGUAACAACCAACAAGAUUUGCAUGAAUGGGUGGAUCACCUGCAGAAGCAAACCAAAGUCACAACUGUUGGGAAUCCCACCAUUAAACCUCACUCUGUGCCAUCUCACACGCUUCCUUCCCAUGCAGUAACACCCUCCAGCAAGCAUUCAGACAGCAAGCCAAUACCCCUGACUCCUGCAUACCACACUCUCCCUCAUCCGUCGCAUCAUGGGACCCCACAUACCACGAUAAACUGGGGACCUCUGGAACCUCCGAAAACCCCCAAGCCUUGGAGUCUGAGCUGCUUACGACCUGCACCUCCAUUACGGCCUUCAGCUGCUCUUUGUUAUAAAGAGGAUCUCAGUAAAAGCCCUAAAACCAUGAAAAAGCUGCUUCCCAAGCGCAAGCCAGAACGGAAGCCAUCAGAUGAAGAGUUUGCACUGAGAAAAAGUACAGCUGCUUUAGAAGAAGAUGCUCAAAUUCUUAAAGUCAUUGAAGCAUAUUGCACAAGUGCCAAAACACGUCAAACACUAAAUUCAACAUGGCAAGGCACUGACCUGAUGCAUAAUCACGUCUUGGCUGAUGAUGACCAAUCAAGUCUAGACUCCUUGGGUCGUCGCAGUAGUCUUUCUCGUUUGGAGCCUUCAGACCUCUCAGAAGACUCUGACUAUGACAGUAUAUGGACAGCCCAUAGUUACAGAAUGGGGUCUACAUCUCGUAAGAGCUGUUGCUCAUAUAUCUCUCACCAGAACUAAUGCACUUCUGAGCUUUUUCUUAACAAAUGCUUGUUGUAUCACAGCCUGCUUUUCUUAGAUGUUUUCUUGCUGUUCCUUGUCUCUUUAAUGUGAUAUUUUAACAACUUCUGAGGGAGCUUCUGAAACUUCAGUUAUACCUGGUGGAAGGCUCUAAUGCCAAUUCAAUACACGUACGAAUAAGUCAUUCUGAAAAGUGUAUAUCCUGUUAAGGAUGAUACUUCUUGAGGGUUUUUUUAACUGACAGAUGUUAAUUUGUAGCUCUGAAUGGUCUUUUUUUUUUCUUUUUCCUUUUGACUUGGUCAGUGUAGCAACAGGUCCUUUCUUAUUUUCUUAAUUUUUUUUUAAUAUUAUUUUGGAUACAGCACAUUUUUGUAUUUUAUACUGAAACCAUACUGGUUUGUGAGCUGAGUGCCAGCAAUAUGGAAAUACCCUAGCGGUAGUGGUUGGAUUUUCUACAUAUUACUAACAAAAUACAAAGCUGGUAGAAUAAGAAAAACGCAGCUUUAAAAUAAGCGGUACAAGAGCUGUGAAAUCAUUCUGUUAUUCACGUAUCUGGCCCAUUUGUUUGGAAGAGCAUUUGCUAAUCCAUAAAAAAAAAAUUCUGUUUUUGUACUGCUGUCUUUUCCUCAUUGCUUAGACGUUUUAUACAGAGGACUGCGCUGCUCUCCCUGCCCCGAGCCUGGCAGUUGUCAUGAAAACCCAGCAGUCCAUGCUCAUUACAUGCAGUGUUUUGAUAAUCCCAUGUUUUACCUGUGGUCAUGCUGUCACUUUACUGUAUGCAGUAGUGUGGCAGAAAGCAGGGUGUAGAUGUUUACUUGCCUGUUAAAAUACACAGCUGUCAACUCUCUCAAUUGACCAUUCUUCUUGAAAAGACGAGAUGAAAAUGGUUCCCCUGAUGGAGGCUCGAGUGUUCAGCAUCUGAAACUCUAGGUACAACUGCGAUCACGUUGGUUUGUUUGAAGUUCUGAAUAAUAGAAUGCUUGGCUUUUGGGUUGUACUGUUUGGAGCAUGUCCGUGAUGGGUUUUUAUUGUGUCUUGUAACUUCUCUCACAAGCAGGUUUGUUUUCAGCAGCAGCUCUUCACUUACAGUCGCGUUGGCUUUUCAGAGAACUGUGACAUGCUGUGCACAGCUGAAGGUCUCGAACCUGCACCUGGGGCACUGCUGGGGUGAAGUGCGUGACGUUCUGUCUUGUGGAUAAUACAAUUGGCAUCGAAACCAAAACCACUUGUUUUCUAAAGCUUCGUUAGCCUUAGGGAAAAGCAUGUGGUAAAAGGACAGAAACAGUUCUUUUCACCAGGGUCCCCCAAUGCAAGUAAGGGGGGAUGUUACUUACCCCUUUUCCAGUUAGCACAUUAUCCAGUGUUCAGGUGUUACUCUAGGAACAAGUUCAGAAUAAUCACGAUGCAGUUAACUGCCACCUGGGAACUUGAUCACGCUGUCUGAAAGAUAAUCAAUGCCUUUCUGCAAGUUACAUGUUCAGAAAGUUAGCAAUUGCUAGACAUGCAUGAUUCCUGAAGGUGGUCGUUGUGGAAAAGCCAUUGCAGAGCAGUUCACAUCUGCAGAUUUGCAUUCAGUCUUGUUUGAUCACCUGCUUUAUCCUCUCUCACUGUUGUUGGCCUUCACAAAAGUGACUAACAGAAGCAGCAGUGCUUACACAGGAGGGUUUUCAGGGGCACGUUUUACUGCUAGUCCUGUGUUAACGUAAUGACCAGGAACUUGUGUAUGUUGAAUUUUUUUCCAAGUGGAGGAGUGUUGCUUAGAGAAAUAAGUACGUGUGCUCCAUACCAUUCCACAGCGCAUUUGUAACCCACUUCACUCCCCUCUUCCUUUCAGUCAGUUUUUUUGGUUUGGUUUUUUGUUUUUUUUUUAACACAUGGAAAGUAUGGAUUGUUUUGGGUUUUUUUCCUUGUUUCUUAAGUUGUGGUGUUCUAGUUGAAUAAUGUUUUCUGCAUUGGAUAAAUGAUAAUUCCCUUAUGUCUGUUUUAUGUUAUAUAGUGUAAAUAUGAGUUUGAAAUACAGUUGUUGCACUUGAACUUUCCUUGUCACACAGAAUGUUUUGUUAUCCAGAUCCGAAGAUUUUAUUGACUUUCUAUGCACCAAAGCUUUGACAGUUUACCACCAUUAAUUAUUGUAGCAUUUAAGUCAUUAACUGUUAUCCUAAUUAGGAUCUCUCACUGCACAUUUACAAUCACUCCGUGUCUUCAGUGUUACAGGCCAUAAGCUAUUGUGAACUGAUCAGGAGUAUUAAUGCAACAUGCUUUAAAAAAGAAAAAAAGCAAAUGUGGAAAUGGUGGUAUUCAGUCCAAAGGUUCAGUGUUUCUAUUUUUGUGGAACUUUAGUCAUGGUAAUAAUAGUACCUUAUGUUUAUGCAAUUCUGUAAAAUAUAUGUGUACAGUUACAAAUACACUGGAAGGAUGGAGAAUCUGAAUUAGAAGGUAGGUCCAAGCCAUUGUCAGCCCCUCUUCACAUGGCUUAUGCAGUGUUUCCAUAAAUUAGUAUUUGCCAUAAAUUGGAACCAACCAAUAUUAAUUGGGUGUUUUGCAUAAUCUUGCCAAAACACAGUAACGUGUAUAUAGUGACGUAAAACAUAGAAAAAAUAAUAUAUAUUGUGCAUUUCAUUUGUGAAUGGGAGAAGCCAUCUUUAGUAGGUGACUGCCUUUUGAAAAUACAAAAUGGAUGUAUAUCUGAAUGUUGCAUUGUACUGUACAGUAUGCAUAUUGUUUGUGGUUGCAUAUAUCAAUUAAGUGUUUUGUUUUAUAUAAAAAGGACAUCUGUUAUGUACAGUUGAAAUAAAUUUUGCAUUUAAUAGACUGUGACUUUAAUAUUUAAUUAUUACACAGGGGGAAAGGACAGCAUAAUUUGUAACUUAACACUUAACUUCCUUUUCUCCCCAUGCCUCCUUUCUCUCCCUCCCUUCUUCCCGGAGGAAUCAAAUGCUGAAGUGAAAGAGCUUUUUUGACAUAAAUGUGUAAUCUUCGUUUAAUGUAGUUGACAACUGCACGAAAUUCAAUGUAAUGUGAAGUAUGUAUCUUUCUGUAUCUUCUUUUUAAAAGAACUAUUCACAGGUAUUGCCUUUGAUGGGAUUUUUUUUCUGUUGCCUCCCUUUCCCCUUAAUUGAUUUUAUUUUGUUUUUCAUCAUUUGAAUUGGUGUAUUCCCAAGUAAAAGCAUGGGCUGAAUUAUUAGGGCAAUCUAAAACCUACUUUUGCAGGUCCUCUUUAUAAACAUAUUUUUUCUAUAACCUUACAUAUUUUCUAGAUCUAAUAUUACAACAUUUUUUUUCUUAAACCAAGAGUAUCUUAAGUGUUUCUACUUAAAAGAUGCUCGUAUUUGAAUGAAUUUAAAUAAAAUGAUAACCUAAUAUUCAUACUCAAAUGUUUGCAUCAGAACAAACAAAGUAAUCGCCUACUUCUAUUAAAAGGUCAUCACAUUUUUUUGCUAUGACUGUAGCAACUCUCGUUUUAGACCUACAGCCCUCUGGUUGGAUGGUUUUAUAUUGGUUAGUGAAAUACAGGAAGUUUACUGGAAUAACUCUUUUCAAAUGUUAUCUUAGAGAGAUCCCACUUCAGAUGGUGUAUCUGUCUCAAACUCUUCAUUCUGUUCUUAUAUAACUAAUACAUAUGGAAUUGUAUGUGUUCCAGUCCACUCUAAUUAUUUUCAUUUUAACUCAUCAAAACAUUUUAGUGUAUACUGCAUAGAUCUGUUGUCUGAGUCACAUGGGGUUUUUUCCUAUUUGUGUAUCACUAUAAGUUAAAAAAAAAAAAAAAAAGCCAAAAUACUUCAUGCCAAAACCUUUUUUGUUACUCCCAAGAAUUUGCAAAAAACUGGUGUUUUUUUAUACAGUGAACUGAAGCUUGGCCUGAUGUUUGGAUUCUGAUUUGUUGUUAUCUGUAGAAGAUAUUAAAGGGCUCCCUUUUGACUUUGGCAUAUCUGUAUCAUGAAGGAUUAUUUUGUUCCAAUGCUUUAAUCUCAACACACAUGGAAUCUGGGAGUACCUUUUUUAGGAUUCUUCAUAUUAGGACUUCAUCAAAAAUUCAUUGAGAAAGAAGAUAAAUUUGGCAGGUCUAUUUAUCCACUUUAGCAUUUUAAAUACAACUAAUGCAGUGAAAUACUGAAUGUUUUAAAUGACAAGUAAUUCUUUUUUUUGUCUAAUAUUUGCUUCUCCAGGAAAUUUACCCAUCCAUACAUACUGAUGGCUAAUGAUCUAAACAGUUCUGUGUGCAGAUAUUUGGUUUUCAGUGGCAAAUCAGUCUUUGAAACUCAAAACAAUUUUGAAGAGCUUCUUAGCUUAUGAAGAGAGCCUAGUAAAAUUGGGGAAAAAGAAAAUUGUAUAUUCACAAGUACUGUUUCUAAAAUUUGACCUUUAUUGUGCUUUAUUCCCCUCUUUACCUCGCCUAAUCAUAAUAAAGGUAGGAAAAACUAAAGAACAUAGUAAUACUUAAAAGCUGUGCAACAGAAUCAUUAGUGAUGGCCUCAAAUUAUGCCAUGCAUUUUUUAAAAUAAACCACCAUCACCACGGGUCUAACUUCCAUAGCUUAAAUUAGGACCCUCGUAGUCUCUUGAAGAUGGCAAACUCUUUGUAGAGUGUCACUGUGGAAGUACCUAGAUUGGGCCUUCUCCAGCUGGAGGAAGGAACCCUGUGCUUGAUUGACUGGGGGAGCUGGCUUUUUAUAGCUGAGGCCCUAAGGUUAGCUGUUUUAAGUAGGUGAUGUGAAUGUCCACCUCUCUUUUAUUGAUGGCUGAAGUGGUUCCUGGACAGACAAGGCCUUUGAACACAGGUGGAGACUUAAUAUCUGGCUAAAGUGAAAAGGUGUCUGAAUUUCAUGCACCACCUUCUCUUCCUUCCCUCCUGCCUGCUGUCUUCAGAUCUGUGCAAAACUUCUGGACUCUUUUCAUAUGUGUCUGCUUAAAGAUUCAGAACGAAGGACCAGACUAAUUACCAGUACAGCUCCUUCUCUGAAGCCUGGCUUCUGUCAGGAAGCAGCAUGGUACCAUAUCAACCAUUUUUUUAAGGUGUCACGCUCCCUUUGGAGGAGAGUGAGUAAAAGGCUGGGGUUGUGCAGUUAUGCUUGCAAACAGGCAUCACUGAGAACCUCUCCAGCAUUGUCUGUCACUCUAGUUUCUUCCUGUUCUAUGCUCCAGUGCUGGGAGUGAUGUUUUGCUGGUUUCAGACAGACAUAAAGUGAACUUCUGUCAUGACAUCUUUCAGCCAUGUGAAUAUCCAAACAGAUUCCAGUUUUCUUUUUUUUUUUUUUCCCCAGAAAAGCUUACAGCUGCUUGCUGGUGUGGCUGAUUGAUUAGGCUGGAAAGGGGAUCAGACACUGAAAAACUAAAAGCUGUUACCCACAGGCCUGUUCUUGUAUCUCGGCUGUUGGACCACAUUUCAUUAGUGGGUAUUACUGAGAUCUCUAUCCCUGGUCUGAAUGCUGGAUGGUCUAUGUUAUUAUUAUUUUACUCUGGAAGGUAAAUUUGCUAAACCUAUAACUUAGGGUAUGGUAUUGGCAAAAAGCAUUGUAAUUCUCUGUUUUCCACUCUAGGGCUGGGAGAUACUAAUAUUUUAAUAGAUACCUUUAUUGUCUUGAUGGAAUUUAAUUGACGGAAACUCGGUUGAAUCUUGAUCAUAGUAUCCAAUUUGUUUUGCCUUAAAAAUGCAACAAACUUCUCAACAGUGGGGUCAUUCUUCCAAGACCCUGGAUUUAGGAGUUCCCCAUUGAAAAGUUAUGGCAAUUUACUCAGCCUUAACCUUUGUUUGCUAAUCUUAAAGUAAUUGUAUGGGUUUGUCAAACAUGCUUUCUUCUUCCAUCCAACUUACUUCCUCCAAUACCCCCGCCCUCCCCCCACAAAAAAAAGGAAAAGAAAAAAACAAAAACCCUAUUUUGUAAAGCCUUGGAUGGGGUUUUUUGGGGGGGGGGUUGUGUUUUUUUGUUUUUUUUUUUUUAAACUAGUACUUCUUGUUGUAUUGUCUCAAGGUGAUUUGGGGCCAGAGUUAUUGAGGGUCAAUUUAAACAUUGUCUCUUGUCCUGUUUGACUUGGAACGAGACUGAGUAGUUAAUAAAAUUCAGCAUGAAACUUGCACAUUUAGGAUGGAAGGACGGUAGAUAUGCCAAACUGAAGUAACUUUUGCUGCUUCUGCACUACUUCAUGAAAGUGUGGAAUACAUCUCAGAGGUGCUUAGGAUUAUCUAGCUUGCAGCAACUUCUUGGACCAUGCUUUUAGUACAACUCUGUAUGAAAUAUCCACUGUGCUAUAACACAACCCUCUCUUCACGUCCUAAAGGUGUGCAGGUGUCUCUCUCUUCUGGAGAGAAAUGGUUACAUAGAGCAUAGCCAUAGAGAAUCUGGUGGAGGCACAACAUGCUCCUUAGAGAAUAUUGCCAAGUGCCAGGAAUGAGGUGACUCUGCUUGAAGUUCAUUCUAGAUAUAUAAUUGCCAAAAGAAUGCUUGUAAAAAAAAAAACCCGAAAAACCAAACCACCAAAAGCUGAGCAGGAAAAGCUUCUGGCAUAAAUGAUGCAGAAAAGCAGGACAGUGAAGGAGCUUCCUUUUGCCUUUAGAACUUGACACAUCAGGUCUGAUGUUUCUGUGCACGUACUCAUCUGAUGACAGGGCCCUUUGUUGCAGGAUAGAUGGACUGAAUGUUUCUUAACAAGUGCUUGUGGGGCUUAAUAAAAAAAUCCACAACAAACAAACAAACAAACCAAACCCAAAACUCACAAAUAGCAAACCAAGAUAAAGAAGGGGGGUUUUGCAUGGUACAAACCGUAAGAGCAGUGAGGGUUCCAAGAUAAAAACUAAAAGUUGCUUCGCAAUGAAGGCAAAGGGUGAAACGUGUGAUGUCCUGAAUUCCACAGUAGUUAAUGUUUUGUGGCACAGGAAGGUCAGUGUUCACAGCAACAGUUUUACAUCAUGUAAGUGUGUAUGUGUACUGUGUGGUCUCCUUGUGUGUAUAAUGUUGGUGAACAUUUUGUUUUUAAUGAAAUUGCAUUCUGUGUCUCAGUAGUAUGAAGUGCUAUGGCUGUACAUACAUCAAGAUAUGCUGGUGCAGACAUCUGUUGUACAUGCAUGUGUGUAUAUUACUGUACAGCUGGGACAUUCUUUUUUUUCUAAAAGCUGUUUCUGCUUUGCAAGGACCCAUGUUACUCUGACCAGGCAAAGACAAUUGGAUGCAGCUCUAUUCAGAGAUAAAUUCGAUGCGCUGCUGCGUUUGGUUGAAGGGAGUCAUGGGCGAGAGACAUGUAGCUGUCCUCUCCCUUUGGUUGGUGUCUCCCUCGGCAUGUGUUGGGCUGAGCUGCUCCACAUGGGUCCAGAGAUCCAAAAUGUAGUGACCUGGUAGCAGCUGCUGCCAACUAAUUCCUAAAAUAACAUUUAGCUCGGUGUUCUGUGUUACCUCAUGGGCUAAUAAAGCAGAGCAGCAACCAAUUAACUGGAAUAAACAUAAGGUGAUGUUUUAUAAUUAGAGAUUGACAGCACAAAUGGGGAAAUGUCCUUGAGCUCCGUAUAGAGUUUGGAUGUGCUUGUUUUGUAGGUUGUUUCUUCCCUGGAAAAUAAGUGGGCGUGGAUGGAUAUUAACCCCUAAAAGAUUUCUUCACUCUGUAAGAUGAACAACUUACAGCUUUCAAGGACAAGAUUCUGUUCUCAAAUCUGCAGUUAUCUUUAUGCCAUAAAAUUUUGACCAUCACGUACUGAUACAUUAGAUCUUCAGUGUCAGUUCAAGGAAACUGGUUUCUUCAUUAAGGGACAUUUGUCAUUGUUUGCUAAAAUAGUUUAAAUAGCUUUAUACAUACUGCUGCUAAACUAUGAUCCCUACAAGCUCGUUGUUCAGAACUCAAGUCUGCAGCUGUUAGGGAAGUUAGUAUUUUUCUUUUAUGAGCUUGACUUCUUUCUUUUUUUGUGUGUUUAGAUGAUGUAUUUUAUCAUGAACCAUAAAAGAAAAGCACUGUUAUCACAAGGCAGCUGACAGGCAGGCACCCUAGUUGUCAGUUCAAACCGUACUAGAAUUAAGACAUUCCUGGUUAAUGAAAGUUGAUUGCAAGUGUAUCGUGUUUGUUAAAAUUGAUAUCUUGGUUAAAACAUGUAAGAUCUUUAAUGCCUUAUCUGCUGUGUUUGAAUUCUGAACAAAUGCUUAGACAGCUAUUUAUUUACAGACCUUCUUUAAAAAAAUGCUUGUAAUUUGUUGCAGCCUAAUUAAAUAACAUUUCUAGAAUACAUACUUCAUGUAUGAAUGGAUGCACAUCUCUAAGCUGUAGAUUUUUCUGUUCAGAGGUAUUUUUUAAGAUCUAUGUGUACUAUCUUGAUGUUAUAAACUGCAAUUAUUGUGGAAAAUGUUUUGAAGAUGUUGGAAUGUUUUGAAUUUUUAUUGCCAAGCCAUUAAGUGCUUUUACAAAAAUGAUAUUCAGAGUAUAUAUUUCAUUUGGUAAGAAUUUAUUAUAGGACUAAGUAGUCUAAAAAACUAUCUGUAAGUGUAUAUGUAUGUAUAUGUGUGUGCACACAUAAUUGUGUCAUUUAUUGUGUUCCAGGGAAAAGGAGUUUUAACUUUUUUUUUUUUGUUCCAUCGCUGAAUCACUUGAUACCACUAUUCGGCUAGAAUAAUAGGUUUAGAGUGGAAUUGUUUCUUGGAUUUGUAUCAGUGUGAGAUCAGAAUCUGUCCUUGAGGCUUAAAGUCCUGUUACUUAAACAUGUCUAUUUUUUUCUGGGUCGGCUAUGGUGAAUUUGUAUAGUUUUUACUGAUCAUUGAAUGGUGCACCGUUCGUUGAACAGUGUAACGUCGCCAUCGAUGAUGCAGGAGUAAUGUCAGCAGCAGGAUAGGAAAGUCAGGCAAUCUUUUUGUUGUAAGGCUGUGGUUUCAAAUGUGAAAAAAAAUUCCUCAGUAACUUGUGUGUGGAGGGAAGGGGGAAAUAGAAAGUGAUACACCUUGGUCAUGCAGGUGUAUCACGCAGUGAAUGAAAUAAUCUUUAAAAUUCCCCAGCAAUAUUUGUGAGUUGCUCAUUUUUUAAUUUGUUUUUACAAUAGGUUCCCGUAAAGAAUCAGCUCCUCAAGUCCUGCUUCCAGAAGAAGAAAAAAUUAUUGUAGAAGAAACUAAAAGUAAUGGUCAGACUGUUAUAGAAGAGAAAAGCCUUGUUGACACAGUAUAUGCAUUAAAGGAUGAAGUACAGGAGUUAAGACAGGAUAACAAAAAGAUGAAGAAAUCACUAGAAGAAGAACAAAGAGCUCGCAAGGACUUGGAGAAGCUUGUUAGAAAAGUUCUAAAGAACAUGAAUGAUCCGUCUUGGGAUGAAACCAACUUAUAACUAAUUUUUUUCUUUUUUUUUUUUUCCCUUUUUCUUUCUAUUGAAAGACCAGUUGUAAAACUGAGCUGGGAAGCCUUCUGACAUUAGUCAGUGUUGCAUCAAGAGCACUACAAAACAGGAUUUAACUGGAUCUAGUGAUUUCUUGCUCUGAACAUGUAGAAACAGUCAAGCCAUUUACUGAAGCAAUCUGUACUUUUAAGUGUGGAGACCGUGGAUCCUGAACUCUACUAAACCUAAUUUGUUUGCAUCUAAAUUACCUCAUUUUGCAGAAAGUGCAGCACCUGACUAAAAGUCCAUGUUUUUCAGUGGCUUUUUAAUUAAAUAUAUAUUUUUCUUGUAAAUAUCUGUAAUUUUGAAUGCAUAUGUGAUUGAUGUAUCAGGGCUGAUAUGUUAUUUUUUUUCUCUCUUAUUAUUAUAAUGGUCACAAGUGUUAGAAAUGAGGGCAGUACUGUCUUACCUAAGAAAGGUCAGAGUUCUUUGUGGAUAAUUAUGGAUUUGUUCCAAAUUACCUGCUCAUCACACAUGCAAAUUUAAAAAAACCUGUUUCUCCCAUUGACCACUGUAUUUAAAUCCUUUACUGUUAUUUAUGUCUGUGCAUACAUUUUUAAACAGUUUACAAUUCUUUGAGAACAGUAUUAAAAUACAGGAAUUUGUUUCUUGACAGUAGAAAUCAUUUUUAACAAAAGGAAUGCCCAUGAUUUCUGUUCACGUACACUUGUUUGGCAGACUAAUCUGUUGUGCUAUGGCCACCAGAAGACUGAUGUACUUUGCCUGCUUUUUAUGACUGUGAUUUUUAGGUGUUUAUGUACUACAUUUUCUAUUGUCGUGCUUAAACAUACAGCUGGCUGAUAAUUUAAUAGAUCAUACGGUUUGGUAAAGCAAAAAAAAAAAAUCAAUCUAAUCCAGAAUUUUGUGAAUAAAUUGUUGCUAUUUAUAUUUUAUGGUCACAACAAUUAAAUUUGAGCUAACCAAUGUGCAUAAGACACGUGGGCUAGGCCAAACUUCAUUCAGAGCUUUGUUUUUUAUACCACUAUGUCAGACUCUCUGUUUGGAAUUCCCAGGCUGAGGCAGCAGAGUCCUUCCUUUCCCAUCCUGUUUUUGUAGCAUGUUGUUGGUUUCUGUCCUACUAGGAUUUAAAUGGAAACAGAUCUGGAAAUAAGAUUAUUUUUUUUUAAAUCAUAUUGUAAUUCAUAAUUUGCACUGCUGACAAAUUUGAAAAUAGAUAAAUGAACAUUUAUUCCCUAGUCUGAUAGGUGCAAUUACUGCAAUCCUUUCUUGUAUUUAAAAUAGGAAAUGCUACAUCCCUGCAAAUGGUGAGCUUCAGUUGGAGCACUUAAAAUACUAGUCCCAUGAAAGCUCCUUGUGAGUGUUUCACUGAUUUCAGCAAAAUUUGGAUCAAACUCCAGACAGUGCAAUUUUCUGAGGGGUUUUUCUUCAGUUGACAGUCAGAAGUGCAGGUAUAGCACAGACCCGAGUCGCACCUUUUGUCAUCCUGAUGCUAGUGCCCUUUAACUCCUGUUAAGUUUAAUGCUCAGACUUGAACAAAUGUUUAUAUGAACUUUAAUGAGUUGGAGCCAGGACAAUUAGGGUGGUAGGAAUUGUCAUGCACACUUUGAAUCUAAUGAAAUGUCUAUUUUUAAAGCUAUCCACUUUUUUCAGCCAAGAACAGCUUUUUUAAAUAGGAAAGAAUGUCAAUGAUUACAUACUUAAGGAACAAUUCUGUGCGAAUGGAUACUGAAGAUUCUCAAUAGACGAUUAGUUGUCUGAUUUAAAAAGCUGAAUAUAUUUGUAGGUAUUUUAAUUUGCGUUCCUACAAUUAUAAAUGUCUUCCUUUUAGUUUUAAAAGGAGCAGACUGGAUAGGAAAACUAAAAAAAGUCUACAAUAUCAAUUAUAUAUUCACAGAACUUUAAAUUUAUGAUAAUUUUUGAUACCAAAAUCUUUUUGUUGUUUGCAGUUGCACAAAAAUGUAGACUGACAUUUAUAAUUAUCGUAGUAUUUAGAAAAUACUCUUGCUAAAAGCCUAAGUGAUACUAAACCCUGCAAAUUCAUAGCAUCGUGGCUAAAUUUAGAUUUGGGAAUGCUAACAUUUUAACUUUCUGACAUUCAGGCUAUUUUCGGAGUGAAUUUUAAUUUCCAAUUGAGCGUAUGGGAAAGGACAUUCCAGAGGAAGAAGUAGGAAAGGAAAACGUGAAUCUUAGCAGUAUUUAGCAAAUUUUAACUCAGGAACAACUUCCGUUAUAACAACUUGUUUUACAUGAUAUUGUAAAGAGUGGCGUUGCUUUGUAAAUUUGCUGACUCUUAGUACCUGUGAUUAUUAUCAUUUCUGACAGUACCCCUAGACUGACAUCUAAUGAACAUGCCUUAAACACUGGGAUUAAGCAGUUGUUAAAUACGACCGGGACUUAGGGACUGAUUUUAUUCAAGGUGGAUUGGGACGAUGAUUCUUUUUUCUUAAAAAAAUAGGUAACUCUUGUCUCUAGUGCAGAGCGUGAGCUUCAGGCUUUUGGGAACCAAGGAAUAUCUGAACUUUUUUUCUUUGACAAUUUGUUAUACUGUAUAUAGAUUGUAAAUUUCACCGUGGACUUUCUGAAUUGUUGGAAACUUUAUAUAAGCAUGGAUAAAUGGGGCACUGUUUAUUUAACCUAUUAAAGGGUUAUUUCUUUGCUCUCAUCAUUUAGGGAUGAGGAGAUGAAGCCAUUUCUUAUCCUAUAGAUGUGAAGCACUUUCAGUUCUGAACUGUCCAAAAUGUAGCAUAACAUUUCUCUGUACUUACUGAUGUAUGUGUGUUUGUCUCACCAUGUCAUGACAUCUUAAAGAUUAAACAAUUGACCGCCUUUGUAUAAACCUUCUUAAUGCCAAUCAUUUAGGGAAUUUAGAGUGUUUGUUUACGGUGUCUGUGGAGAACUCAACUUUAGUUUAGGUGUCACAGUAAUAUUCUGGUAUCGACUACUAAACUGUUUAUGCUACAUUGUUGUAAUUAAACCAUGAUUUUUUUUCCCCUA